rnacentral:ncRNA from 1 species
AAAAUAAGUGUUAUGUCCAAUAACCCAAAUCAUAAAUUUGCUUUCCGAGUAGCCCCUGUUAUAGGGGCUUUUUUUAUGUU